rnacentral:rRNA from 1 species
AAACGACUCUCGGCAACGGAUAUCUCGGCUCUCGCAUCGAUGAAGAACGUAGCGAAAUGCGAUACUUGGUGUGAAUUGCAGAAUCCCGUGAACCAUCGGUCUUUGAACGCAAGUUGCGCCCGAAGCCAUUAGGUCGAGGGCACGUCUGCCUGGGCGUCACG